UACGUAGGGAGCAAGCGUUGUUCGGAUUUACUGGGCGUAAAGGGCGCGUAGGCGGCAAUUCAAGUCAUCUGUGAAAUCUCCGGGCUUAACUCGGAACGGUCAGAUGAUACUGUUUUGCUAGAGUGCAGAAGGGGCAAUCGGAAUUCUUGGUGUAGCGGUGAAAUGCGUAGAUAUGCGGAGGAACACCGAUGGCGAAGGCAGUCCCCUGGGCCUGCACUGACGCUCAUGCACGAAAGCGUGGGGAGCAAACAGG
rnacentral:rRNA from 1 species